GCACGGCUUGAAGAACUUGUAAAGAUUCGCAUCCUACAUGGCAGCAUGGAGGACAUGAUGAAGGUCCACCUGGGCUCUGUAUUCAUGCCCCAUGGCCUUGGACAUUUCCUGGGUAUUGAUGUGCAGGAUGUAGGAGGUUACCCUGAGGGCACUGAAUGAAUUAAUGAUCCUGGAUCGAGGAAUCUUCUGAUGGGCCUCCUGGUGCAAGAACAGAUGGUUCUCAUGGUGGAGCCUGACAUAUACUUAAUCAGCCACCUGCUGGACCAGGGUGGCUAACCCUGCCCAGAGCUGCUUCAUCAACAACCAAGUGCUGGCUCACUUCUUUGAUUUUGGAGGGGGGCAUCGAGCACAUUGAACUGGGACUGUUUUGAUGGGCCACCUGAUGCAGGAUCAGAGGGUUAUCAGCAUAGCAGAGCCUGGCAUAUACUUCAGACAUCAACUACCUGCUGGAUCAGGCCCAGCUAACCCUUCCCAGAACUGCUUCAUCAGCAACCGAGUGCUGGCUCACUUCUGCAGUUUUGUAGGGGUUAGUGUACAGUUGUUCCUAAAACCCUUUAUGAGCUAUUCAUACUUGUGUAAUUCUCUAAUGUCUGGCAUGUUAUCAAAGUGAAGGAGAGAAAAAUACUUCAGACAUUUCAGUCUGGGGGCUCUGACAUUUUUCAAUUAAAUCAAUUAUUAAAACCCACAACCUGCUA